ACCUUAGGGGGAGGGACACGGCGGCACCCCAGGUGUAACCUGGAGGACAGAGUGUGCCGAGUGUCUUCAUUGCUGCGCAUGAUCGCCUGUGUUUUACAGGUGUUUUCAGUGGUGGACAGAAGUCAUUGUGGGAUUCUGACCAGUCUGCAGCUACACGUCAUAAUGCCUGAUUCCACCUCUCAGUGCCACCGUUACAUAGAAAAGAUGAACUCCACGAAAGAGAGAUUCACAAAAGGUCUUUGAAGAUGUUUCACCUCUCAUCCCCACUUGAAGAACUUGAAAGAGAAAUCUAGCUGCUUUUUCCUGAAGCUCUAAUUAUCUCCAUGACCCUAAUGACUGAGGAUCUACACAGACGUUCUUUAUGAUGGUACAAUAUUUUUAGCAUAAGAUUAGAUGUCAAAAAGUCACAUCUGUUUUCUCGGUGCUGAUCAAAUGUGUAGUUUUUGGCUUUGUAGACUUAUUGUGUUCAGACUCAAACACUUUUGAACAUUAUUUAGGAGGAAUGCGUGAUAGCUUGCUGGGUCUUUAUGUGUUUCUUUUUGCUAAACAUGUCAAAUCCUUUCACAUAUUCUGUCCUGUAAAAGAAAGUGUCUUAUGUUUUUCUUUCACCUUGUAAACUGGUUUAAGAUAUGAGAUAAGGUAAUCCUUUAUUGAUCCCACAGUGAAGAAAUUUGCAGUGUUAUAGUAGCAAAGGAAAUAGUGCGGAAAUGUGGGGAACAUCAGUAAAAAAGAUAAAAUAGCAAACAAGGAAUAUACAUAUGUGGUGCUGUUGAUAUUGUGCAGUAUCCAUCCACACGUAGAAAUUCUAGAUAUUGCACAGAAUCUUCUAAAGGUGGAAAAUAAUAUUGCACAGUAUCAUUCUAUGAGAAGAAAAAUAGUGAUAUUGCACAAAUAAGUAGAAAAUACUUAAAUUGAAAAUACUGAUAGUGUUCAGAUUGUGCUACAUGUACAAAAACAGAAUGCUGCAUUUGGUUUUUGGCAGCAAUAAAACUGGUUUAUAGUG